AUGAACGCUAGCUACAGGCUUAACACAUGCAAGUCGAGGGGCAGCAUGGUCUUAGCUUGCUAAGGCCGAUGGCGACCGGCGCACGGGUGAGUAACACGUAUCCAACCUGCCGUCUACUCUUGGACAGCCUUCUGAAAGGAAGAUUAAUACAAGAUGGCAUCAUGAGUCCGCAUGUUCACAUGAUUAAAGGUAUUCCGGUAGACGAUGGGGAUGCGUUCCAUUAGAUAGUAGGCGGGGUAACGGCCCACCUAGUCUUCGAUGGAUAGGGGUUCUGAGAGGAAGGUCCCCCACAUUGGAACUGAGACACGGUCCAAACUCCUACGGGAGGCAGCAGUGAGGAAUAUUGGUCAAUGGGCGAGAGCCUGAACCAGCCAAGUAGCGUGAAGGAUGACUGCCCUAUGGGUUGUAAACUUCUUUUAUAAAGGAAUAAAGUCGGGUAUGCAUACCCGUUUGCAUGUACUUUAUGAAUAAGGAUCGGCUAACUCCGUGCCAGCAGCCGCGGUAAUACGGAGGAUCCGAGCGUUAUCCGGAUUUAUUGGGUUUAAAGGGAGCGUAGAUGGAUGUUUAAGUCAGUUGUGAAAGUUUGCGGCUCAACCGUAAAAUUGCAGUUGAUACUGGAUAUCUUGAGUGCAGUUGAGGCAGGCGGAAUUCGUGGUGUAGCGGUGAAAUGCUUAGAUAUCACGAAGAACUCCGAUUGCGAAGGCAGCCUGCUAAGCUGCAACUGACAUUGAGGCUCGAAAGUGUGGGUAUCAAACAGGAUUAGAUACCCUGGUAGUCCACACGGUAAACGAUGAAUACUCGCUGUUUGCGAUAUACAGCAAGCGGCCAAGCGAAAGCGUUAAGUAUUCCACCUGGGGAGUACGCCGGCAACGGUGAAACUCAAAGGAAUUGACGGGGGCCCGCACAAGCGGAGGAACAUGUGGUUUAAUUCGAUGAUACGCGAGGAACCUUACCCGGGCUUAAAUUGCAGAUGAAUUACGGUGAAAGCCGUAAGCCGCAAGGCAUCUGUGAAGGUGCUGCAUGGUUGUCGUCAGCUCGUGCCGUGAGGUGUCGGCUUAAGUGCCAUAACGAGCGCAACCCUUGUUGUCAGUUACUAACAGGUUCCGCUGAGGACUCUGACAAGACUGCCAUCGUAAGAUGUGAGGAAGGUGGGGAUGACGUCAAAUCAGCACGGCCCUUACGUCCGGGGCUACACACGUGUUACAAUGGGGGGUACAGAGGGCCGCUACCACGCGAGUGGAUGCCAAUCCCAAAAACCUCUCUCAGUUCGGACUGGAGUCUGCAACCCGACUCCACGAAGCUGGAUUCGCUAGUAAUCGCGCAUCAGCCACGGCGCGGUGAAUACGUUCCCGGGCCUUGUAUACACCGCCCGUCAAGCCAUGGGAGCCGGGGGUACCUGAAGUGCGUAACCGCGAGGAGCGCCCUAGGGUAAAACUGGUGACUGGGGCU
rnacentral:rRNA from 1 species